UUACCACCGAAGAAGAGUGGGAAUGAAUUAGAAUGAGUUUUCCAAUAUACAUUAAAUGUCUCUGCACGUAUAAAAUGCUGCGCUGAUCAUAGUUAAAUCAGUUACCAUCGAUGAAUAUACACUCUAGAAAGGGUUGGGUCAUUUUGUUGGGUUAUUUUAUUUCUUUUUAAACACUUUUGGGUAGUUUCAAAUUUACGACGUGUUGGGUUAAACCUGCUCGGUUGUUUCCGGACCAGCGCUGGGUUAUUUAACGCGCCUUGAAGAUCGCUCCCCAACUGUCAUUUUGGAAGAACAACGGGGCAAAGCCACGGCUUUCAACGGUUUUAAGAAAAGCACAUGGAUACACUUGUGUGAGACAAACUCUUCGAGUGCAGUCUUAUUGAGGCAUCUAACGGUUGGAACAAACAUGGAAUUCUUUAACUGAGCAGAGUCCACAAAACCCCAUCCAAUUGUCGUGCCGAUUUAAAAAUGCCAGCAGAUCUCUCAGGCAUUGAUCAUAAUCAAUGAACAGGUCACCGUAGCCACCAGAUCCAGUCUGUAUCCAGAUCAGAGGUUCACUGCAGUCACCCGGAUCCAGUACGUAUCCAGACCAGAUGGUGGAUCAGCACCUAGAAAGGACCUCUACUGCCCUGAAAGACAGCGGAGACCAGGACAACUAGAGCCCAGAUACAGAUCCCCUGUAAAGACCUUGUCUCAGAGGUCCACCAGGACAAGACCACAGGAAACAGAUGAUUCUUCUGCACAAUCUGACUUUGCUGCAGUCUGGAAUUGAACUACUGGUUUCGUCUGGUCAGAGGAGAACUGACCCCCAACUGAGCCUGGUUUCUCCCAAGGUUUUGUCUCCAUUCUGUCACCGAUGGAGUUUCGGUUCCUUGGUUUUCCUUAGUUGGAGACAAUUAAUAUCAAGCGAUAUCAUUGACUUGAUUGCACAGAGGGACGAUAUAUCACUGAAUCAAUGAUGAACUGACUUUAACUGAAAACUGAGUGUUUACUGUUGUCCCUUUGCAUUAUUACACACUAUUUUCCUGUUUAAUACUGUAAAGCUGCUAUGAUGCAUUAUUUGUUUAAUAUGACAGGCUUAUUACUCAUAAUACAUGGAAAAUACAGCUGCAAACGGACAUUGUUUUUCCAUUUGAAAUUUGGCAGUCACUGUGCAUUCAUAAAAACUGAAACAGUAAUUUUUGUUCAGUGUUUUUGAAACAGUGUUUUUGUUCAAGAUUUGCAAUUGUGUUUGGAUUGUCACAAUGUGUCACAUGUGGAAAACGCAAUUGAAAAUAUAAUUUGCAAUUCCUUUUGAAAAUUGUCCUUCCAUACACAGGCUCUAUAAUUGUACUUCCAUAGACAGGCUCUAUAACAAAGUACACUGCUCUCAGGUGUAGAUCUUUGCUUCAAAUCUUAAGUGUUUGACAAUAGUACACCCAAAAAUGAAAAUUGUCAUUAAUUAUUCACCCUGGUCUGAAAGCUCUCGAAUUUCAUCGAAAAUAUCUUGUGUUCUGAAGAUGAACGAAGGUCUUACGGGUUUGUAACGACAUGAUAUAAAUUUAUAAUAUACAUUUUAGGACAUCUUUAAAUGAUUUUACAUUUAAAUGUAAAAAAUUUUAAUUGUCAAUGUCAUUUCACUGUGUAUUUAAAUAGCUAAACAUGUAAAAAUGUAAUGGUUAAACUGCUAGACACCGGUCAUUCAGAAAUAAUUUUCUUAUUUAUUGCAACUG